GGUGGCAAACCCUGGAGCUUUGAGGGCCCCUCCCCCUUGGAAGAGCAGCUCUGCUGGGGCUGGCACAGCCCCAGGUCUCUGAAGUUCCAUCGGAGCCUAAGGGAGGGACCAGGGCCCUCUGAAGGGAAUUCAGAGGUGAGGUUGGAAUGUGGAAUCUGGGGAGGUGCCCAUCUCUGCAUCCAUUUAGGACACCAGGAGCUCAGACUACCUUGCUUCUCCCCAGAGGCGGAGGUGCCCAGAUCCAGAUGGCCAUGGAGCUCAGGGCUGAGGAUGCAGGGGUGUGUGUCUAUGCAUGUGUAUGUGUGAGCGUGUGAGCAUGUGUGCAUGUGUGUGUGUGUGUGCAAGAGAGAGAGAUUUUGGCUUCCAAGAUUCCCAGAUUCCCUGUGUGAGAGAUCUCUGAGAUCCAUCCACACAGUGACUUUAGGCUGUAACUGAGCAGGUCUCUGCCUGCCUCCACCCCAUCAGUACAUCACGUGGGGGCCCAGGGGAGGGUCAGAUGGAGCCAUUCCCCUCAGGCCCUGGGGUGGGUAGAGCCUGUGGACCUGUGAGUGCCCAGCAUACAUCCUUCCCCAAGUUCAGUGAUUUUACAGUGGUAGUUUGAAAUUUGCCAUGGUGGGAGUAUUUAUACCUCAGGACCCAGCAAAUACUACAGGCCUGGGUGCCCUGCGAGAGCUGGUUGUUAGAGGUUUACCAGCAUGGCCCUGGGACCAGCGUGGAGGGCUCUGCGCUCUCUCAUCUUGAUCACACCUCUACUUUCUCUGCCUUUGGUCUCUACCCAGGCUGCUCCCUUGAAUUCUUUCCUCUUCCCCCCUUGCCCGUGUUCAAUAACAAUAAUAAAAGCAGUACUAAAAAUGAUUAAUAUUUAUUGUACAUUUGUUAUGUUCUGGGCCUGUUUUGUAAGACUCAUCUCAUCUUCACAGUCAGCCAGUGAGUGGGCAGUAUGUAGUUUUCAUUUGGCUGAGGAGGUAACAGGGGCACAGAGAGGGUGAGGAACAUCUGAGGCCAUACAGCUGAUGGUGGCUGGGAGCACUUGUGGUUCUACAUCCUGUGAUGUGCCACACCAGGCUGCCCUACUUUUCCACAGGGCUCUUGCCAGCACUUCCUGCAGUCCUGCUGUUGGCCUGGGGCCUCCCUUGCAGACUUCUGGUCAUCUCUGAGGGACCAUGCACUGGACACAUGGAGCCACCCCUAGCCGGGGAGCUGCUUCAGUGCAGUGCUUGUGUCCAGGCACAGGAGCAAGCACUGGGACAUUUACUGAAUGAGCUGCUAACGGAUCUCAUCCAGGGAACCUUUGGCAGAGGACCUGGCACCUGGCACCUUGCACACGCAGGGGCCACCAUGUUGUUAGUGACUUAGCCCAAUUGUCCUGUGCUUUCUUUUUUUUGGUACCAGGAAUCGAACUCAGGACCUUGCACUUGCAAGGGAGUCAGAGGCACCGCUGAGCUAAAUCCCUGGCCCAUCCUGUGCUUUUUUUUAUUAUCACCUUCCAUAUGCUAGACACUGUUCUUGGGGUUAGGGAUUAUAGUGGCAAACAAAGCUAAUAAAAAUCUUUUUUCUCUUGGAGAAAGCUUGUUCUAGUGGGGAAAGACAUCUAAUAAAUAAGGCCAAGAAGUAAACUGUAAAGCAUUUAGUGAUGUAUGCUAACGAGAAAAAAUAAAGCAGGAGAAGGGAUAAUUAGUGUCCAGGAGAGGUUGAAAUUUUUUUUUUGGCACCAGGAAUCAAACUCACGACCUUCACUUUUGAGGCAGGUUCGGUGCCACUGAGCUAAAUCUCUUGCCAGAGGUUGACAUUUUGAUAGGUUGGUCUCUUGACUUCACUAAGAAGGUGACAGUUUAAACAAAUAAGGGAGUGAGUUAUGUUUACUGAGUGAGGAACAUUUUAGGCAAAGCAAAGGUCCUGGGACAGGAACUUACUGGCCACAUCUGAGCAGCAACGACGAGGUCAGUGUCCUUGGGAUGGGAUGAACAGAGCAGAAAAUAAGUCAAAUAGUCAUUGAAGUCAAGAGAAGCAGAUGGGGAAGGAAGGGGCAAAUGGGAAUGAUGAACAAGAAGGCAUGGAGAGGAUUUAAAAGACAGCAGCUAUUCCCUGUACUCUAGGGAGAGAAAGCUCUGGGAAGAGGGGACAGGAGAGGGCUCUGCGCUCAGUACCUCAAAAGGUCUCUGGCUCCUGUAGACCCUGGUGCAGCACAGAAUUGGCUGUUUCCUGUCUAGACUCCUACCCUCUGUUCCCCUAUCCUGACCACAAAAAGGUCUUGCACUAAGGUCUGAAAUGGUACUUUAUUUGUCCUUGGGUGUCUGUGGCCUCUGCUUGCCCCUAAACCCAAGGACAGAGUCUAGCAUAUGGAAGAGGGUAAUAAAAAAAGCACAGGACAGGGCCAGGAAUUUAGCUCCGUGGUUUCACCACCUGCUGCGCAAGCGCAAGGACCCAAGUUCGAUCCCCGGUACCAAAAAAAAAAAGCACAGGGCAGUUGGGCCAGGUCACCAAUAAGCACAGUGUCCCCUGUGUGUACAAGGUGCCAGGUGACAUGCCUCAGGGACCACUGAGGGGUUGUUUGGUGCUAACCAUGAAUAGGCCACUCCUAGAGCUCCUGCUUUCCAGCCACCCCCUCCUUGUCCUUGGGGUUCAGCUUUUGGUGCAGCCUGGCUGAAAUGAUAAGGAGAGAGCCGGGCCCAGAGAGGCUGGCAGCAGAAAAGGAAAGAGCCAGGUGGGGAGGCUUUGAGCCCAGUGGGCACAGGAGACCCUGCAGAGGUCUCUGGCCUGGCAGGAGUGCAGGACUGCUGGGCAGAGGUAGUGGCUGGACCAGGAGUGUGUGACCUGGAUUUAUUUGUCCAAUGCCACACCCCUCCCAGAGCCCCAAGUGCUCAGUAUCAUAAAUAAAACUUACCGAAUAAAUCUGCCCCUGUAAAUUUUCUUUCUAGAAUUUCAUUAUUUGUCUCAUUUCCAGUCAUUAGGUUUUAGUCCAGUUUGGAGUUAUCCUGCUCUCUCUCUCUCUUUUUUUUUUUGGUACUGGGGAUCGAACUUGGGACCUUGUGCUUUUGAGGCAGGCGGUGGAACCACUGAGCUAAAUCCCCGGCCCUUGAGUUUAUCCUGAUGGCUGUGUAAAUCACCGUUACACUCCAGGAAGCCAGAACUCCAGGGAGAAAUUGGCCUGGCAGGGGGAGGUGACAGCUCAACCCUGGACAGUGGGACCCUGUGUAGGCACCUGUGAGGUGCUGGCUGCUCGUACCAAGCUACUUCUAACCGCUGGCCCUGGAAAGGGGAGGAGAAUUGUCAUUAGCUGGACACCUGACAUGCUUGUGGAUUUUAUCAGAUCAAAUCUUCACAGCUGCACAAAGUAGGAAUUCCUUUCACCACCUUAAAAAAUGGGACCAAGGCUCAGAGAGGGGAAGUCACUUGCCCAAGGUUACACAGCUCAGCUGGUUUGUACCUGACACAGUCUGGCAUUGAGCUUAGGUUUAUCUGACUCCAAAUCUACUGCUUCCUAGUGUCCUGGUUACAGGAGGCUGUAGAGAGCCUAGCAUAGUCCACCCCUUCUGUGAAGCACUCCUUGGUUCCUAGCAGGAGUUGAGUGCUUGUCACCUGGUCCCUCUGGGCUAACUUUGAACCAUGUAGGAGGCUUUCAUCACACCCAGUGACCUUCCAUGACUUAUCACCAGCCCUGUCUUCUGACAUGUGGCUCCCUGUUGCUUUCAUUCAUAACCUUUUGCACACUUGUAAAUCGUGCAUGCAGCAUUGUGACUAUUGAGUUCUUGUCUUUCUUCCCUUCUAAAACUAAACAGGAUAGUGGUUGCUUCUGCUGGGCUUACAGGAUGUAGCGCAGUAUUCAGCACGUAAGUGAUUAAUACAUUUUUAUUGAGUAGAUGGAUGAAAUAAUGAAUGAAUGAAUAAAGUAGUCAUCCCAGAGAAGAGGAGGAGGAGAUGUGCCUAUGGCAACAUCUCCACUGUGCAGGUCAGUUAGAUCCCCGAAGCCUGGGAGAGGCCCGAGUGGGCAGGGAGGGUUAUGGAAUCUCAUGCUCAGGCUCUCACUCAGUAUUUAACUUAGGAUUCACCCCAAUAUUGACUUUGUUUCAGACCCAGCUUGAACUCCAGCCUCUGCCUUGACCCUAACCCAUGUCCUACUCGAAUUUCCUACUUUCACAUUGAUCACAACCCCAAAUCCAAUCUUCAGCUCCAUCCAUAAACCUAUCUCCAAUUUUAACUCAACCUUAGCCCUUGACUCAACUUAAUAUCCAGCCUCAGCCUCAAUGCCUAACCCAUUUCCCCAUCCCCAAAUACAGCCCUCAGCCCCAGCUACAGCCCACCCCUAGCUCUAAUCUCAGCCUCACCUCCAAGCUUGGUCCCUACAGCCUAGCCUAGCCCAGCCUUAAUAUCAGUCUUAGUCCUGACUCACCCACAGAUCCAACACUCCAAUCUUAGCCUCAUACCAUACCUCAGACCAGCCUUAUAACCACCCCUGCCCCAGUGCCAGCCUCAACCCUACCAUCACCAGUCUGUCCUGUGGAAAGCAGUGGCUCCUCUUCUCCCAUGGGGCAGGGAGCAGCUAUUGUGCCAGAUGCUUGCUGUCCCAUUAGCACACCAUCCUUUCCCCACUUGCCUUCUGGCUUGGAGAGGGCAGGAGCUUUCUGGCUUCCUGUGAGAGCUUAGUAAUAAUUCCUGGUACCUGUUUCCUGGUUAUACUGUACAGACCACAUCCAUACCCUUAAAUUGAAGAGCUCUUGCUGGCCAGGAAGAGACACAUAUGACUUUGUGGGACAUGAUGGAAGUGGGUUCUGAAAUGUGUUGGCUGGUUUGUAGCAAAGGGGAUGCUAUAACCCAGCUCUUCUGUUUGUGGUCUCUGAAGUCCCCAGUUCUCUCUGGCCUGUGGGGAAAUGAGAAGAGGGACUCUUGGCUCUGUGUGUAGGGUGUGUAACAGCAGCAAACCCCCUCCCUUCAUCCCUCAGCACUAAAUGAUGGGAUAGAAGCCGUUGUACUGUUUCCCAUCCUGAGUUUAUGAGGACUUCUAAGGAAGGGAUAUGGAGCACACUAAAGAGCAUGAAUGGGGCUGAUUAGUGCCUGGUGGGCUCCUGGCCAGGCCUCCUCCAAUGGUAUUCUGAAACAAGGGCUACUUACAGAGACAUGGAGGGAGUGCAGUAAGCAAUGACCAGAGGUGGUGAGGCCCUAGAGACCAGCAAGGUUUGAAAGCCCUCACCACCUCUAGGGCUGACAGGCAAGGGAGAAAAGGGUAUUAUUGGGGCCCAGUGAGGGCUGGGGUGGUGGAGGAAGGGAUUCCUAGUGCAAGUUGUAGUCAUGGAGAAACACAGCCACUGCUAAAAAUCUCACCCUGGAGGGAGGCGUGGGAGGGAAUCCCUAACCUCCUUUCUUCCUCCCUCCAACCUCUGCCAGUGCCUCCACUUCCUGGUCCUAACCAUGGGCACCCAGGCCCUGCCGGUCUCUGGGGUCAGUCUCCUGGGGCACAGGGCAGGGCCUGGAAGGCAGGGGCUGUGUCUAGGCCAGGGGAUCCCAUGGAGAACAAAUGGCACAAAGAGAGAGAGGAGAGAGAGAGAGAGAGAGAGAGAGAGAGAGAGAGAGUGUGAAGAGUGGGUCAUCAAAGAGAGACAAACAAAGAGAGACCAAGGGAGGUGGCAAGUGUGUGAGGCCGGGAGUGAGAAAGGGCUCAGGCCAUUUGUCUGGUCAGGUCUGCCCAGUCCAAAUCCCGCUCAUCUCUCUCCUCAGAUAAGCUGAGAAGUGAAUGCUGGACACUGGCAGGGUGCUGAGAAGUCAGCAAACAUGUGAGCAGUGGAUUCCAAGCCUUCUGUUCCCAGCUCCUGGUAGAAGCAGCAGAGCCUUGGGAUGUCCUUCCUCUCUCCGCCUGGUCUACUGCCUGGCUGCUCUCACCCACCAUGGCCUCUGUCAUGGCUUUAUGGAAAUAGAAGAACUUUGAACCAGCAGGGCUGAGGUCCAGUGGAGCAUAAUAAUACUGAAGAGGGAAGCCAGUCCCUGAGGCUUCCAUGGCCAGCUCCUGCAGGAUUUGGUGGCACCCUGCCAUAUGUCUGGGAGGUUGGUUGGGCCCAACUGGGAAGUUCUCUACCAUCUGGUGGAGUUUAGGUCACAUAUGUGGCUGCACUCAUCUGGGAGCUACCUGCAGCUGAAACACUCGAGAUGGCCGCUCGUCCUCCAGAGCUUCUACCCACCUGGGCUCUAACCAUUCAGUCAUCUGGCUUUGGCUUCCUCAUGCUAUGGCAGUUGGGCUCCAAGAAGAGAGAAGUGGAACUGGCCAUUCCCUUUAAGGCUUGGACUUCGCUUCUGUCACACACUGUUGGUCAAAGCAAGUCACAGGCCUAAUGAUUCAAGGGGAGGGGAACUAGGCUGCACCUGUUUCUAGGGACAAAAGGAAGAGGUUGAUGACCAUUGGACACUAUCUAUCUCCCACAGCAUGUGGCAGUAAUUAUACAGGGAGCUCCUGGAGGGCAAGGAUCCAGCUAUAUAUCCACUCUUCCCAAGCCCACACGGUCAGAGAUUUCAGGAUACAGUGUGAACUCCAGCUUCAAUAUUCCUCAUACUGGAAUGUUGGUCUGGGAGAGGGUCGAGAGGUGGUGGAGUCAAGCCCAGGCUGUCGGCUGCCUCUGUUGGGACUCUUUAAUUUCAAGAUAGUGCAUCUAAAUGCUGUCUGGAAGUCUUUUUCUGGGCAUAGGUUAUGCCCCCUGCGGCAUGAUGGGCACAUUUCAUUCAGCCACAUGGUUACACAGAGCCCUGGAUCCAAACACAGACUUAAUAAUUAAAGCCUGUCUCUUCUCUCUCUUGUCAUUGUACAUUUAGAGCAUGUGGAAGUCAUUAGUGUUGUUUGUCAAAUAUUUCUGGCUGUGCACCUGCUGAACACAUGGCAGGAUUGCACUUCUUGGCCCUCUUGUGGUUGGGUGCAGCCUUGUGAUGAUUUCUGGCCAAUGAGUUGUGAAUGGAAGUGCCUUGUGCCUUGUAUGGACAUUUAAUGGCUUUGUGAAGCCUCCAGAGCUCUCUUUCCCUCUGCUUUUGUGCUGGCAAUGUUAGAGAUGGUAUCUGCUCCACUGGGCCAAUGAAGACAUGAGAAGCAGAGCCUCAUUCAACCCAUGAUGUGCAAAUGGCAAGUCAGUAUCCUGGGCCGACUGAUGUGGCACAGCUGCUUCCUCUGGAGUCCGUGAAAACCUCUUGGUCCACAUUCUUCCCUCAUGGCUGGAGCAACUCGGAGCUUUCUGCAGUUGGUGGGAUUCUGGGGCUCCGAGGACUCAAAACCAAAUUGGAGAGAAGGUAGAAGCCUUAAGGAGCUGAAGUCUGGAAAGUCAAAGAACUUCCUAAUCACCUGUUCUGAGCCCCGCCUUGAGGAUGAAGACAGGGAGGACAGAGUUGCAGCAGCCCUGUGCUGGCGGCCAGGGCAGGUACAC
ensembl:lncRNA